rnacentral:rRNA from 1 species
CCUACGGGUGGCAGCAGUGAGGAAUAUUGGUCAAUGGCCGGAAGGCUGAACCAGCCAUGCCGCGUGAAGGUCAGUGCCCUAUGGGCGUUAAACUUCUUUUGUGCGGGAGCAAUAAUGGUCACGUGUGGCCAGACGAGAGUACCGUACGAAUAAGCAUCGGCUAACUCCGUGUCAGCAGCCGCGGUAAUACGGGGGAUGCAAGCGUUAUCCGGAUUUAUUGGGGUUAAAGGGUGCGUAGGCUUUGAGGUAAGUCAGCGGAGAAAUUCCCCCGCUCAACGGGGUGAAGUGCCAUUGAUACUGCCUUGCUAGAGUGCGAAUGCCGUGGGAGGAAUGUGUGGUGUAGCGGUGAAAUGCAUAGAUAUCACACAGAACACCGAUUGCGAAGGCAUCUCACGAAUCCGCGAUUGACGCUGAUGCACGAAAGCGUGGGUAUCAAACAGGAUUAGAUACCCGUGUAGUC